UCCAGAAGAGGCCUCCCAACAUCCAGUACAUCCUCAACAUAACAUCCCAACUCCUGUACUCCAAGGUCUGAACAAUGAAGAUCCCAGUGAUUAAUGCCAAAGCCCUGUUGCCUGGGGAGAGGGUGAUGUUUGACUUUCUUGUACAGCUGCAGUUUGUGUGGUGAAGGUGCUCCCACAAUGUGGUUGGGAUGAGGCUGUCACUGGCUCGGCCAGCAUUUAUUGCUGCGUUUACCCAGAGGGCAGUUAAGAGUCAACUGCGUUGCUAUAGGUCUGGAGUCCCAUGCAGACCAGACCAGAUCCCAGUGAUCAGUGCCAAAGCCCCAUUGCCUGGGGAGAGGGUGAUGUUUGACUUCCUGUACAGCUGCAAUUCAUGUGGUGAAGGUGCUCCCACAAUGUGGUUGGAGACAGGCUCCAGUGACUUCAUGGGGGCUACAACUCCCACAGUACCUGUGGCAGGGACCGCACGUGUGUGGGGAAACCCUGCACGCUACAUGUGCAGAAUGUGAGCGGGUUUUGGAACAUGUGCUUUGGGGUGCUAGAUGGUGAAGAUUUGCAGACUGAAAUCUCAAAGUCAUGUGCAGAUUGUGAUUAAGUUAACCAGCAUUUGAAGAACCAAAGAUAGAGAAUCACUCCACCAAAAUCCUGCAACACUCUCCCUCCCAGCAUUGUCGGUCUCUCUGCACCAAAUGGACUGUGAAUGGUACAAGACAGCAGCUCACUACCAUCUUCUCAAGGGUAACUAGAGAUGGGGAAUAAAUGCUGGCUGAGCCAGUGAUGCCCAUAUCCUG